UACCAUCUAACUAUUAUUACGGAAUGCGUGGGGUAAAAAUUUUUGAUGAUAGUCAUUCAUUAUGACUUGAUCAUAUAUAAUAAUUGAACUCACGUGGUAUUUGAUAACUAACGAUACCAUGUUUCUCAUGGAAGCCUGAAGAAGCCGGCUUUUGGCUAACCUUCUCUCCUCCAUCGUAGCAUAUUGAGCUCUUUGAGGCAUCUUGGUAUGGCAUGAUCAUUAGAAGCAGGCUAGCAGUUGAGGAUUUUUGGCAAACCAGCUUCUUUGAAGUGAUGUCUAGGCUCUUUUCACCUGAGGAAUAAACGGGAAAUAAUUGAAUUUCAAUCAGUGGUGGCAGUAUAAACGGCACUCUUUCAGUCUUUCUUGUUGGCAUUGAAUGAUACCACUCAAUGUCUCAUAUUGGAAAAUGUUUGCUUUAGAACCUCUUUGUUUACUGAUUGCAGCUUCUUCUUUUUUUUUUAGGAACUCAUAUUUCUUCAAAUAUCCAGAUAGCAUAUUAACCUUAACUCAUAUGGCGUUUGUGCAAAGCUUUCGGGUGUUCUUGGUACUGAAAAAUACAUGAAUAAACAAUAGCCUAUUCUCCUUGCUGUAAAUUUGUUCUGGAACUUUUAGUCCCUUAUAGUGCUCAAAUGUAUCUCGCUAAAGUUGUGAUACUUAAGCUAUUAACUU
rnacentral:lncRNA from 1 species